rnacentral:rRNA from 1 species
GGCCAGACUCCUACGGGAGGCAGCAGUCGGGAAUAUUGCGCAAUGGAGGAAACUCUGACGCAGUGACGCCGCGUGCAGGAAGAAGGUUUUCGGAUUGUAAACUGCUUUAGACAGGGAAGAAAAAAGACAGUACCUGUAGAAUAAGCUCCGGCUAACUACGUGCCAGCAGCCGCGGUAAUACGUAGGGAGCAAGCGUUGUCCGGAAUUACUGGGUGUAAAGGGAGCGUAGGCGGGAUGGCAAGUUGGGUGUUAAAUCUACCGGCUCAACUGGUAGUCGCACUCAAAACUGCUAUUCUUGAGUGAAGUAGAGGCAGGCGGAAUUCCUAGUGUAGCGGUGAAAUGCGUAGAUAUUAGGAGGAACACCAGUGGCGAAGGCGGCCUGCUGGGCUUUUACUGACGCUGAGGCUCGAAAGUGUGGGGAGCAAACAGGAUUAGAUACCCGCGUAGG